UACGUAGGGUGCAAGCGUUAUCCGGAAUUAUUGGGCGUAAAGAGCUCGUAGGCGGUUUGUCACGUCUGCUGUGAAAACUGGAGGCUCAACCUCCAGCCUGCAGUGGGUACGGGCAGACUAGAGUGCGGUAGGGGAGAUUGGAAUUCCUGGUGUAGCGGUGAAAUGCGCAGAUAUCAGGAGGAACACCGGUGGCGAAGGCGGGUCUCUGGGCCGAUACUGACGCUGAGGAGCGAAAGCGUGGGGAGCGAACAGG
rnacentral:rRNA from 1 species